GAAACACAGUGUGCACACUGAAGAGAUGAAAAAGCUAUUAGAUAUUUCAUGGAGCUAAGCGAUGCCACAGGUCUGAAACCGCUCCAAGAUGCUUUGGCAGGACAUUGUCUGCCCUGGAAAGCUGAGUUAUGGUAGAACGGCCAACUUCUGCCCUAUGGUUGGCCGUUCAACCGUAACAGUCAAUCUGGUCUAUGCCAAGAAGCAGCAUCUUCUCGUGUGAAAGGCCUGCUAGAGGACACAUUGGGAGAACUUCAAAUAGACGCUUAUCCUCACUACUCACAGUGCGCAGUGCCGUAUGGGUUUUAUGCUGCCACUGGAGGUUCAGUCUUUGGACUGGAUGAGGCAGAAACUGGAGGUCAGCCUCCUUGGAAUCAUCCAGAGCAUCGAGGCUUUCCUCCUGGACAAGAAGGCUCAGGACAAGGGUCACCUCGCAGCACUGAUGGGCUUCACAAUACGACAAGAUAGGAAUUACUUUGUCAUCAAAAGUGUUCCACUCAUGCAUGAGCUUUUUAUGAGGUGUGCUGUAGCAAAUUUCCAUUAGUGAGAGCAUGCAAGGAUUUGGCUGUCCUCACGUAACAAGUAAAUAUCCAGUGAGGUUUAAAUUUUGCAGCACCUUGUGUCCUUAAUUCAGAGGCUGUUGGGUGUAAAAAGAAAGGAAAACAAACUUUUAACUGUAGAUGUUGACUAGGAGAGACUACUGACUUGAUGCGUCAUCCCACAGUGAGUCUCACUGAGAGUGGUCCAGUCGACACUCAUUUCCUGGUCAGCCUGCAGAAGGCAGAGCUCAGGGAUGCAUCCUCCCCAAAAGGCCAACAGCUGCACACUCAGCUAUAAAAAGUACAUGCAGCACUGUGGCUCAGACAUUGUAAAGAUCCAGUAUGUUGUAUUUCUGCAGUAGGUCCCACCUUCAUAAAUAAUGCUGGCAGAAACUUAACAUUGGCUCAGGUUAUGCCUCAGGGUCAUGCCUCAGGGUCAGCCAGGAAGUGGUUCAAUUUCAGUGGAGCAUGUUAAAUAAGGGAGAUUUUCAAUGAACAUUUACAGGAAGUGAUGUCAAAAACGACUUUUAACUCUACCAAUGUCUGUUUGGGUUUGGAUUUUUCUGACCAUCGCUUUUUAAAAGCACUAUUUAAUCAUUUAGACCACUUAAAUAAAUGUUUUUUCAUCUGAGCCCUUAGGUCCCCAGCACUUUUCAUUACACAGUGAUGCCCUUGUGUUUGUCCCUCUCUUGUCUUCUGAGGGUGUGAUUUUAGUUCAAGUCUCUUAGCAGUGCUUCACAGGAACCAGCAUCAUUGCGGAGGUGAACAUCAUGGCACCACCUCUUUGACCUCCACUCAGCCUUCCAGCCAAACCUCACUCUACCUACCAUCAACAGUCUUGCAGGAGACUGGAUUGUAUUCUCGAAUAGACAGGCACAUGCAUUAUAUACUUUAAACCAUUUAUCUAUGCACCGCAAGAUAAUUUA